rnacentral:rRNA from 1 species
UGGCCUUGACAUGCAGAGAACUUUCCAGAGAUGGAUUGGUGCCUUCGGGAACUCUGACACAGGUGCUGCAUGGCCGUCGUCAGCUCGUGUCGUGAGAUGUUGGGUUAAGUCCCGUAACGAGCGCAACCCCUAUCCCUAGUUGCUAGCAGUUCGGCUGAGAACUCUAGGGAGACUGCCGGUGACAAACCUGAGGAAGGUGGGGAUGACGUCAGGUCAUCAUGGCCCUUACGGCCAGGGCUACACACGUGCUACAAUGGUGCGCACAGAGGGCUGCAAACCCGCGAGGGGGAGCCAAUCUCACAAAACGCAUCGUAGUCCGGAUCGCAGUCUGCAACUCGACUGCGUGAAGUCGGAAUCGCUAGUAAUCGUGAAUCAGAAUGUCACGGUGAAUACGUUCCCGGGCCU